GUCUCCGUAGGUGAACCUGCGGAGGGAUCAUUACACAAUAUGAAGGCGGGCUGGACACCCUCCAGCCGGGCACUGCUUCACGGCGUGCGCGGCUGGAGCCGGCCCUGCUGAAUUAUUCACCCGUGUCUUUUGCGUACUUCUUGUUUCCUGGGUGGGCUCGCCCGCCAUCAGGACCAACCAUAAACCUUUUUGUAAUAGCAAUCAGCGUCAGUAACAACGUAAUUAAUUACAACUUUCAACAACGGAUCUCUUGGUUCUGGCAUCGAUGAAGAACGCAGCGAAAUGCGAUACGUAGUGUGAAUUGCAGAAUUCAGUGAAUCAUCGAAUCUUUGAACGCACAUUGCGCCCUUUGGUAUUCCAAAGGGCAUGCCUGUUCGAGCGUCAUUUGUACCCUCAAGCUUUGCUUGGUGUUGGGCGUCUUUUGUCUCCAGCUCGCUGGAGACUCGCCUUAAAGUCAUUGGCAGCCGGCCUACUGGUUUCGGAGCGCAGCACAAGUCGCGCUCUUGCCCAGCCAAGGUCAGCGUCCAGCAAGCCUUUUUUCAACCUUUGACCACGGAUCAGGUAGGGAUACCCGCUGAACUUAAGCAUAUCA
rnacentral:rRNA from 1 species